rnacentral:pre_miRNA from 1 species
AACUGCCUGGCUCCCUGUAUGCCAUCUGUGUAGCUUAUCUGGACAUUGAUAUGCGCAUAGUUGGCAUACAGGGAUCCAUGCAGAA